rnacentral:rRNA from 1 species
UACGUAGGGUGCAAGCGUUAUCCGGAAUCACUGGGCGUAAAGCGUGUGUAGGCGGAAGCUUAAGUGUGAUGUUAAAUCGUGUGGCUCAACCAUAUCGAUGCAUCGCAUACUGGGUUUCUAGAGUAUGGCAGAGGCAAGUGGAACUCGUAGUGUAGCAGUGAAAUGCGUAGAUAUUACGAAGAACACCAAUGGCGAAGGCAGCUUGCUGGGCCACCACUGACGCUGAGACACGAAAGCGUGGGGAGCGAACAGG